UUAAUUUUAUGGUCAUUGGGUUACAAAGCCGGUGGUCGUGUAACGGCUUACGGUGGUACCUGAAUUUUCUGCAUCUCUUAUUUUUAUUUUUAAUGUUAAUCAUUGUAGGUUUUAUCAACUGCUACCUCCCAUAUUUCUGCAGUACUUGAUUUUAAACACAGACGAGUUCGACACAAGGAAGGAAUCAAGGCAUUAGCUACAUAUACACCCAUAAACGAGAAUGUUCAACAGAACCCCCCCCUAAGUGUGCA